GACGAACGCUGGCGGCGUGCUUAACACAUGCAAGUCGAACGGAAAGGCCCUGCUUUUGUGGGGUGCUCGAGUGGCGAACGGGUGAGUAACACGUGAGUAACCUGCCCUUGACUUUGGGAUAACGUCAGGAAACUGGGGCUAAUACCGGAUAGGAGCUCCUGCUGCAUGGUGGGGGUUGGAAAGUUUCGGCGGUUGGGGAUGGACUCGCGGCUUAUCAGCUUGUUGGUGGGGUAGUGGCUUACCAAGGCUUUGACGGGUAGCCGGCCUGAGAGGGUGACCGGGCACAUUGGGACUGAGAUACGGCCCAGACUCCUACGGGAGGCAGCAGUGGGGAAUAUUGCACAAUGGGCGGAAGCCUGAUGCAGCAACGCCGCGUGCGGGAUGACGGCCUUCGGGUUGUAAACCGCUUUCGCCUGUGACGAAGCGUGAGUGACGGUAAUGGGUAAAGAAGCACCGGCUAACUACGUG
rnacentral:rRNA from 1 species